AUGUUUAAUACACAAGGAGAUGUGGGUUAUUGUAUGGUCUGUGUUAUAAGCUUGUUUUCUCCAUUCUGCUGCUUGCAGUCUGAAGGAGGCUCAAAUAAUGUAGAAGAAAAUCACCCCAGAGAAGACUGCAGAGCCAAAAUUCCAGCCUUGGAUUGUAUACUUACAGACUUCUGUAUGGGAAAAAAAAUAAAUUUCUAAUUGUUUGAACCACAGACAUUUAGAUUUGUAUCACUUGGAAUCUAAUUCCAAGUGAAAUUUCAUCCUGUCCAAUAAAAUCCAAAGACUUACAUGGCA
rnacentral:lncRNA from 1 species